AGUGAACGCUGGCGGUAGGCCUAACACAUGCAAGUCGAACGGCAGCACAGUAAGAGCUUGCUCUUACGGGUGGCGAGUGGCGGACGGGUGAGGAAUACAUCGGAAUCUACUUUUUCGUGGGGGAUAACGUAGGGAAACUUACGCUAAUACCGCAUACGACCUACGGGUGAAAGCAGGGGAUCUUCGGACCUUGCGCGAUUGAAUGAGCCGAUGUCGGAUUAGCUAGUUGGCGGGGUAAAGGCCCACCAAGGCGACGAUCCGUAGCUGGUCUGAGAGGAUGAUCAGCCACACUGGAACUGAGACACGGUCCAGACUCCUACGGGAGGCAGCAGUGGGGAAUAUUGGUCAAUGGGCGCAAGCCUGAUCCAGCCAUACCGCGUGGGUGAAGAAGGCCUUCGGGUUGUAAAGCCCUUUUGUUGUGAAAGAAAAGCAGCAGGUUAAUACCCCGCUGUUCUGACGGUACCCAAAGAAUAAGCACCGGCUAACUUCGUG
rnacentral:rRNA from 1 species